UGUCAGCCUCCACCCCAAACCCUGCUUUGCCUCCAGCAUUUAUAAUGGUGUUAAAUAUAUAAAAAGUGGUUUUAAUUUAUGGGGGCGGGGGUCGCACUCAUAGGCUUGCUAUGUGAAAGGGGUCACCAGUACAAAAGGUAGAGAACCAUUGUUGUAGACAUACCCUAGCCAUAGUUCUCUGAGCCAAAUCAAACCAAAUGCUAGACACCCUCCCAACUUCCGAGGAUUUUACAGAACACUUUCCAUUAUAUGACUAAGAUCUUUAAAAGCCCAUGCAUCUGGAACAUAAAUAAGGCCACUGGAAAUACAAACAGAAGAAAUGCCACAUUGUAGCCCUGACUAAUAUACAUUUGUAUCUCCAAAGAUUUCAACUUCACAGCCAAAAUUUACAGACAGAUGGGAGCAUUUUUGACACCAGCUGUUUGCAAAGGUAACAUUUUAAAACUAGUUUAGCGUACCACCACAGGCAGUGCAUUUAUAAAACUCCACUUUUAGAAAAACAAAACAAUCCAUAGGUGGUAACUUUGAUUAUUUUAACCAGCAUCCCACUGUUUACAGAUCAAUCUUUAAGUCAUGAACUGUUAGUCAGUCCCUAGCCCAGCAUAGCCCUGACUGAGGCCUCAAGGUACUACUGAAACAUACAUUAGUAGUUUGUGCUCAACAAAUAGCCACCUUUCAAUGUGAACCAAUAUAAUACUAUUUCCCCAAGACUGCAGCCAUGGUGUCAGAUUAACCAGUCUUCAUUUCAAUGUGCUUGUCAUUAGUAAAGCCAUGAGUUUAAGCAUUGGAACUACAUGGAAAUAGUGUCUGUGUGUGAGAGAGAACGUCUUCACAGUCAUGAGGGCUUGAAAAAACGUCUUUACAAACACGAGGGCUUGAAAAAACGUCUUUACAAACAUGAAGGUUUACAUUCUACAGAACUCAGUGGUUGAGGGUCCCUACGAUGUCCAGAGAAACCUUCACUUACCUUCUUGUCAGUGGCAGCUAGAUUGACUA